UACGUAGGGUGCGAGCGUUAAUCGGAAUUACUGGGCGUAAAGCGUGCGCAGGCGGUUUUGUAAGCCAGAUGUGAAAUUCCCGGGCUUAACCUGGGAAUGGCAUUUGGGACUGCAAGGCUCGAGUGCGGCAGAGGAGACUGGAAUUCCUGGUGUAGCAGUGAAAUGCGUAGAUAUCAGGAGGAACACCGAUGGCGAAGGCAGGUCUCUGGGCUGACACUGACGCUCAUGCACGAAAGCGUGGGGAGCAAACAGG
rnacentral:rRNA from 1 species